GGCUCGGUAGCUUAGUUGGUAAAGCACAUGUCUAGCGAAUAACGGUCGUGAGUUCAAAUCUCACCUGAGCUG
rfam:Aedes albopictus isolate Foshan contig52503, whole genome shotgun sequence.